GAGAGUAUAGCUCAGUGGUUGAGUAUGUGCUUAGCAUGCAUGAGGUCCUGGGUUCGAUUGCCAGUACUUUCA
rfam:Camelus ferus isolate Naran unplaced genomic scaffold scaffold48358, whole genome shotgun sequence.